UGCCCCUUCUCCUCCAUUUUCCUUCUGCUGCAUUCUUCUUGUUAGGUCUCCCACGAACCUUUUGGCUUUGAUUUUGCCUGAUCUCUUUGGGAUUUUUAGGGUUCUUGCUUGAAAUAUCUUCUGACACCUCUGCCUCUAGCGGUUCCAGGAGCUCGUCUGCCUCAGUCCCCCAGAACCCUCAUGUUGUAGACGAACCCACAUCUA
rnacentral:lncRNA from 1 species